GUAGAGAUCGGAUGCCAUUCCUUGAUAAUGAUUUCGAUUUCAACAACGAGUGUAAUUUUUUUGAUUAAACAAGUGAAUGUGGGUCAACAUGUCAGGAGCUCAAGAAGAUGUCUGCAUAUGGGAUUACCAACAAGGUGGCAAAAACUCUCACCUCAAAGCUAAAAAACUCAUUGACGAAAUACGUUAUUGGUUCACUCAAUCCAAUGGUAAAAAUCACUUAAUUCCGGUUUAUAACUCGAAUUUUGUUUUAUUCUGAUUCUGUACAUUGUUCCUUCCCAAAGCCACUUCAUAUCGAUGACUUGAAAACCCUAAUCUAUGAAGGCAUGGUUGCUGCUUUCGAUCUAAAGAUUUGUGAUGGAAGCGAUGGAGAUGUGAAACAGUACAUGAUUACGCCUACCCAUGUUGGAAGGGAGGCAAAUUAAUGCCUCUAAUAGGGAUUUGAGCUAUAGCCCUACACAGUCUAAGUUAGCAAUGAUAAUGUCCGUGCCUGCACAAGAGGCAGCCACAUAUUCUGCUCAAGCAUUUUCUGAAGUGAAAGCCAUCCUAUACUAUGUCUUAUUAUUGUCUAGAUAUUGAGCAACAUAUCUAUACAUAUCCCAUCAUCAUACACUGUGCUAAGAGAAACCGAGAUAUUGGCCUAAGGUCUGACUAGAGGAGAGGAUAACGGAAUCAUACAUGAUUUCAAGUGACAUCAGACAUUUGAAGUGUUCAAGAAGCUGUUCAGCCGCCAUUGCUGUCUUUUUGGCUAAAAGAUAUCUAAACCUAAUCUUUGAGUUUGAAUGACACCAUCGAUCUCGUUUGUUGGUUCCAUAAAAACGAUGUUUCGAAUGAUCAAAAGGAAGAAGAAAGUCUUUCAGCGGAGGGAAAAGAAAGUCUACUUUGUGGGAUGUUAAGUCAGAAGUUCAAAAGGGUGGCUCCAUAAAAAUGGAACUCAAAAAUUUUAUUUAUUGAUAUUGAUCAUGUUUCAAAUUAUCUUUUACAUAGCUUUUGAUUCGGUUUAUUUCAUUUAUGAAUUCAAAUUAUACCGUUGAUUUUGUUUUUCUUUUCAAAUUGGCUAGUAAUUGUAAUGUCUACUAAUUAUAUGGUCUAAAC